rnacentral:ncRNA from 1 species
UUAAAGUUUUAUUCUUGCUUAAUAAUUUACUUCAAAUUUAUUUUACAUGUGAGUUUUUGCGUGCGUUAUAGUUUUUCUUAAAGAAAUUUUAAAGGUUAUUGAUUCGCAGUAUUUAAUUUUAUUAAUCAAGGUAACUUGGAAUUAGUAAUUUUUGUUAGUACCGGCAAAAGUCGUGCCAGCCGCCGCGGUUAUACGAAGGGUGCAAGUGAAUAUUUUUAGUGUAUAGUUAAGUGAUAUAUAAGGAAGGUAAAAGUGAAUUUAUUAGGUGAAAUUUUAAAUUUAAAUAACUUCUUUAAAGGUUGUUGAAGCUGUGAAAUUUAAAGAUUAAACUAGGAUUAUUAUACCCUAUUAUUUUAAACGUUAAAUAUAAAUACUUGAGUAGUAAUAGUUAUAUUCUUGAAACUCAAAGAAUUUGGCGGUGUUUUAGUCCUUUCAGAGGAACCUGUCCCGUAAUCGAUAGCCCACGUUAGACCUUACUUAAUUUAGUAAUCAGCUUGUAUACCGCCGUCGUCAGAAUGUCCUUAGAGGGAGAAAAUUUUCUUGAAUUUUAAUUAGAAAUGAUGUCAGGUCAAGGUGCAGUUAAUAAUUAAGUGGUGAUGGGUUACAAUAAAUUUAUUUAUUAUGGAUAAUGAUUUGUAAUAGUUGUUUGAAGGUGGAUUUGAUGGUAAUUAUAUUAAGUUUAUUUAAUUGAUUUUGGCUCUAAAACAUGCACACAUCGCCCGUCGCUCUCGUUAAUUAAGGCGAGAUAAGUCGUAACAUAGUAGGUGUACCGGAAGGUGCCCCUGGAAAGUUU